AAGCUUGCUUGUUGGGGUUGUAGGACACUCUAUACGGAGUUACAAAGGACGACAUUAGACGAAUCAUCUGGAAAGAUGAAUCAAAGAAGGUAAUAAUCCUGUAGUCGAAAAUGUUGUCUCUCUUGAGUGGAUCCUGAGUACGACGGAGCACGUGAAAUUCCGUCGGAAUCUGGGAGGACCAUCUCCUAAGGCUAAAUACUCUCUAGUGACCGAUAGUGAACCAGUACCGUGAGGGAAAGGUGAAAAGCACCCCGGAAGGGGAGUGAAAUAGAACCUGAAACCGUGUGCUUACAAGUAGUCAGAGCCCGUUAAUGGGUGAUGGCGUGCCUUUUGUAGAAUGAACCGGCGAGUUACGAUUUGAUGCAAGGUUAAGCAGUAAAUGUGGAGCCGUAGCGAAAGCGAGUCUGAAUAGGGCGUUUAGUAUUUGGUCGUAGACCCGAAACCAGGUGAUCUACCCUUGGUCAGGUUGAAGUUCAGGUAACACUGAAUGGAGGACCGAACCGACUUACGUUGAAAAGUGAGCGGAUGAACUGAGGGUAGCGGAGAAAUUCCAAUCGAACCUGGAGAUAGCUGGUUCUCUCCGAAAUAGCUUUAGGGCUAGCCUCAAGUGAUGAUUAUUGGAGGUAGAGCACUGUUUGGACGAGGGGCCCCUCUCGGGUUACCGAAUUCAGACAAACUCCGAAUGCCAAUUAAUUUAACUUGGGAGUCAGAACAUGGGUGAUAAGGUCCGUGUUCGAAAGGGAAACAGCCCAGACCACCAGCUAAGGUCCCAAAAUAUAUGUUAAGUGGAAAAGGAUGUGGCGUUGCCCAGACAACUAGGAUGUUGGCUUAGAAGCAGCCAUCAUUUAAAGAGUGCGUAAUAGCUCACUAGUCGAGUGACACUGCGCCGAAAAUGUACCGGGGCUAAACAUAUUACCGAAGCUGUGGAUUGUCCUUUGGACAAUGGUAGGAGAGCGUUCUAAGGGCGUUGAAGCAUGAUCGUAAGGACAUGUGGAGCGCUUAGAAGUGAGAAUGCCGGUGUGAGUAGCGAAAGACGGGUGAGAAUCCCGUCCACCGAUUGACUAAGGUUUCCAGAGGAAGGCUCGUCCGCUCUGGGUUAGUCGGGUCCUAAGCUGAGGCCGACAGGCGUAGGCGAUGGAUAACAGGUUGAUAUUCCUGUACCACCUAUAAUCGUUUUAAUCGAUGGGGGGACGCAGUAGGAUAGGCGAAGCGUGCGAUUGGAUUGCACGUCUAAGCAGUAAGGCUGAGUAUUAGGCAAAUCCGGUACUCGUUAAGGCUGAGCUGUGAUGGGGAGAAGACAUUGUGUCUUCGAGUCGUUGAUUUCACACUGCCGAGAAAAGCCUCUAGAUAGAAAAUAGGUGCCCGUACCGCAAACCGACACAGGUAGUCAAGAUGAGAAUUCUAAGGUGAGCGAGCGAACUCUCGUUAAGGAACUCGGCAAAAUGACCCCGUAACUUCGGGAGAAGGGGUGCUCUUUAGGGUUAACGCCCAGAAGAGCCGCAGUGAAUAGGCCCAAGCGACUGUUUAUCAAAAACACAGGUCUCUGCUAAACCGUAAGGUGAUGUAUAGGGGCUGACGCCUGCCCGGUGCUGGAAGGUUAAGAGGAGUGGUUAGCUUCUGCGAAGCUACGAAUCGAAGCCCCAGUAAACGGCGGCCGUAACUAUAACGGUCCUAAGGUAGCGAAAUUCCUUGUCGGGUAAGUUCCGACCCGCACGAAAGGCGUAACGAUUUGGGCACUGUCUCAACGAGAGACUCGGUGAAAUCAUAGUACCUGUGAAGAUGCAGGUUACCCGCGACAGGACGGAAAGACCCCGUGGAGCUUUACUGUAGCCUGAUAUUGAAAUUCGGCACAGCUUGUACAGGAUAGGUAGGAGCCUUUGAAACGUGAGCGCUAGCUUACGUGGAGGCGCUGGUGGGAUACUACCCUAGCUGUGUUGGCUUUCUAACCCGCACCACUUAUCGUGGUGGGAGACAGUGUCAGGCGGGCAGUUUGACUGGGGCGGUCGCCUCCUAAAAGGUAACGGAGGCGCUCAAAGGUUCCCUCAGAAUGGUUGGAAAUCAUUCAUAGAGUGUAAAGGCAUAAGGGAGCUUGACUGCGAGACCUACAAGUCGAGCAGGGUCGAAAGACGGACUUAGUGAUCCGGUGGUUCCGCAUGGAAGGGCCAUCGCUCAACGGAUAAAAGCUACCCCGGGGAUAACAGGCUUAUCUCCCCCAAGAGUUCACAUCGACGGGGAGGUUUGGCACCUCGAUGUCGGCUCAUCGCAUCCUGGGGCUGUAGUCGGUCCCAAGGGUUGGGCUGUUCGCCCAUUAAAGCGGUACGCGAGCUGGGUUCAGAACGUCGUGAGACAGUUCGGUCCCUAUCCGUCGUGGGCGUAGGAAAUUUGAGAGGAGCUGUCCUUAGUACGAGAGGACCGGGAUGGACAUACCUCUGGUGUACCAGUUGUCGUGCCAACGGCAUAGCUGGGUAGCUAUGUGUGGACGGGAUAAGUGCUGAAAGCAUCUAAGCAUGAAGCCCCC
rnacentral:rRNA from 1 species